AGGAGGACCAGGAAGAAAAGGAGGAGAUAGAGAACAGAGGAUUUGCCCUACCGGAUAUCAAAACUCAUUGGAAACUAUUGCAAUAAGGCAUGGUGGUGUCAGUGCAGGGAUAAACAGAUCAGUGGGGCAAAACUGCAAAUCCAAAACAGACCCACAGGGAGACUCAAUGUGACCCAGUAGAACAUCAUAAGUCCCUUUAAAGAAAAGAUGACUGGGGCCAGGCGCGGUGGCUCAUGCCCAUAAUCUCAGCACUUUGGGAGGCGGAGGCUGGUGGACUAGAGAUGAUAGGAAGAGAAAGAAGCAUCAGAGAUGGGCAGUUAUUUUCCUUCCAAUGGACAUACUAAGGGUAGGCUGCCUGCUACUCUUGUCAGAAGUCACAGCUCCUGUUAGGCUGUCCUUUCUAAUCAGUUAUCUCUCUCUCACGUCAGAUCUCAUGAGAACUCACUCAAUAUCAUGAGAACAGCAUGGGGAAAACUGUCCCCGUGAUCCAAUCAUCUCCCACCGGGCUUCUCCCUCAACAUGUGGGGGUUAUGGGGACUACAAUUUGAGAUGAGAUUUGGGUGGGGACACAGAGCCAAACCAUAUUACUCUCCAAGUAUUCCUGGAACACUGCCUCUGUCAUGCCAAGGAGCCCUGGCCGGCCUGAUAGAUGAUGAGAAGAGCAUGGCCCAGUCACCCACUUGCACCAGCCAACAGCCAGCUAAGCACCAGCCAUGUGAGUGUGGCCAUUGGGACCAGCCAGCAUCCUGCCAGUUUACCAGAUCAGCACAGACACAGGACCAAGCCCAGCAGAGACCCUGAGGGCCCAUGCAAGAACUGCCCAGGAGAAUAAUGAGCUAAACGAGUGGUUGUUGCUUUGAAU
rnacentral:lncRNA from 10 species